GGAAUAUUGUACAAUGGGGGAAACCCUGAUGCAGCAACGCCGCGUGUAGGAAGACGGUUUUCGGAUUGUAAACUUCCUUUCUUAGUGAAGAAGAAAGUGACGGUAGCUAAGGAAUAAGCAUCGGCUAACUACCUUCCAGCAGCCGCGGUAAUACGUAGGAUGCGAGCGUUAUCCGGUAUUACUGGGUGUAAAGGGAGCGCAGGCGGGACUGCAAGUUGGAUGUGAAAUGCCGCAGCUUAACUGCGGAGCUGCAUCCAAAACUGUAGUUCUUGAGUGGAGUAGAGGCAAGCGGAAUUCCGAGUGUAGCGGUGAGAUGCGUAGAUAUUCGGAGGAACACCAGUGGCGAAGGCGGCUUGCUGGGCUCUAACUGACGCUGAGGCUCGAAAGUGUGGGGAGCAAACA
rnacentral:rRNA from 1 species